GGCCCCAACCACCUCGUCCAAGGGAUGAGCCUUCCUUUUUGACCAAUCAACUGGUAAUAAGGUCAUCUCCACCAGCUUACAGGUGAGCUAGUGGUUCCGAAGGGUGGACAUAUCCUUCUGCACCCUCUUCAUGAUAGUAGCAAAUGCUCCCUCACCUUCGGAUGAGGGAGGGCUUGUCUCGAAUCUUGUUGGCCCACUCGGUGCUCCAGGGGAUAGCGGUUGUAGUGUGGCAUGAGGCAG
rnacentral:lncRNA from 1 species